GACAAACGCUGGCGGCGUGCUUAACACAUGCAAGUCGAGCGGUAAGGCCCUUUCGGGGGUACGACGAGCGGCGAACGGGUGAGUAACACGUGGGUGACCUGCCCUCAGCUCUGGGAUAAGCCUGGGAAACCGGGUCUAAUACCGGAUAUGACUCCAUGACGCAUGUUGUGGGGUGGAAAGCCUUGUGCGGCUGAGGAUGGGCCCGCGGCCUAUCAGCUUGUUGGUGGGGUGAUGGCCUACCAAGGCGACGACGGGUAGCCGGCCUGAGAGGGCGACCGGCCACACUGGGACUGAGACACGGCCCAGACUCCUACGGGAGGCAGCAGUGGGGAAUCUUGCGCAAUGGGCGAAAGCCUGACGCAGCGACGCCGCGUGAGGGAUGACGGCCU
rnacentral:rRNA from 1 species